rnacentral:lncRNA from 1 species
UGAAAACUCAGAACCCAUAAACCUGGGGAGAGUGAGACAGAGACACUUGGCUGAAGGAGGGGGUGUGGACUGGUUGUACCCCAACCUAGCCACGGGGAUGAAGAUGGCUUCUGAGGUUUGAAUAAGUGCCGGGAAAGGAGAAACAGACCUGGGACGACAAGAGUGAGAGCAUCGUGCACUGGGAGACCUCCAAAAGAGAGCAUAAACCUCACACCUGGAGCCAUCACUACACUCCAGAUACCUGAGUCACUGCUAGACUUUCCCCAGGUUGACUCCCUUCCACUGGAUCAAAGCAAACGUGACUCAAAAGUACUUCAGUCGUAACAAAAAGACACUGAAAUCUAGAAAUUUCAAGUAGAGCCAUUUGUCAGAAAGCUUCAGCCCACGUAAGCGUGUUGCAGCUCACCUAAGCUAGGCAACCCGCAUGGCUCUUGAAACGGAGUCAGAACUCGAUGUGUGGAUUCACGCAAGGGAAGCUGGACCCAGCUAUUUCAAUUACAGGGCAUUUCUGAACCUGACGCUCAGGUGGGGAGUAGGGGAGGUGCGUGGAUGGUCCCCAUGAAGUUGCCACGUCAACUGGAUUCGUUUUCUCUUACUGGCACCUAUGAUGCAAAGGGAAGGUAUGGAUCAACCAGCCUGGGGAUGAAGCUACCUGGAGCCCAGGUGGGGAGCCAGGUGUAAGCACCUCCAGCCUGGUCAAGUGCUCGGAGCCCCUGGCUCACCCAUGUUUUGGCUGUGACUGAAGUUACAUGCAGAUCUUCUUUCAGAGCAACUUGCAAAAAACUUAGAGAGACUAGCGUGAAAGGGAGAGGGUCUGGAAAAUGGGGAAAUAAGCAAAUAGCACCACCAUUUUCCAAAAGAAUAGGUUCUGAAAACCACAGAAGAGCAGACUCACUCCAGCUUCCGGGCAAACCCAGAAGAGGCUUGAGGCAAGACUCGCAGGCAUUUGGGAAGAAAGUGGUGGUCUCUGAAGAGGCAACUCGAGUUCUCUAAGAGAAAGUCAUUCCAUGCUAACCUCAUUUCCUGUUUUGACGAGCUUCACCAGAACAGUCAAUUAGGGGAAUGCCCCAGAAAGUGUGUCUUGCUUUCAGUAAAGCAUCUGAAAACUUCUCAUAGGAUCCUGUGUACGUAACAGACAAAAGAUGGGCCAGGUGAUGGUGUGACCAGAAGUCACAGUUGUAGAAUGAGCAUCCCAACGAGGUGUCGUGUCAGUCCUGUGACCUCUAUUCCCACUUUGGCCCCAGGAGACAGCCAGGCUGGCCACCUGUGAGGUCUCAGUUGGACAGACUAGUCAGUGCUCCCUCCCCUCUGGCAAGUGUGGGCUGAAAUGGUUCUCUGCAGCUCUCUGCACAGAGAGGCUCAGAGACUCAAAGGGGACCGGGUCGGUCUGUGGCUGGUUUUGCACCAGUUACAUCCUUUGGAGGGAAACAGGAACAUUUCCAUGGAGAUAGGGUCCUGUUCUAUGUCCUUUCCCCUCACCACUUAAGAAAUAACAUGCAGGGAAACACUGAAGGCAUAUCUAUCAACUUUACAAAUCACACAAACCUCCGCGGAAUAAAUGGCCUCAAAGCAUCAACUCACAGGAGGUGCAAAGCAGGGCUAAAACAAGACAGAACAUAUGUAAAGUCCUCUUAGUCUUUAAAACCCCAGUCUGCCGUAGGAUCUGGGUACACUUGACUCUGCUCCAUCUGCUAUGUACUUGAGCACGGCCAGAGAUGACAACACCACACCUCUGAGCCUUCCCCUUGACUCUUCCACUCUCCAUCAUAUGAAGCUCUUUUUUUGGGGGGGGGGGGGGGAUGAGACAAGCCCGAAAAAUCCCUUCCCUGCUUAUGGGAUGGCCUUGUUGUGAGGACAAAAUCAGUCAGAGGUGAGCUCGCGGAGCCCAUCUCAAAAUCCCAAAUGCCUCCAACACUCCAGAUGCCUCCUCCGGCAAUCUGCUUUUCCAGAACUUCUUCCUGGAAGGCCCACUGUCCGGGAGCAUAGUAAUUGAAUAAUCAACCAGAAACAACCUUUGCCAGGGCCUGGGUCUUCAAAGAUGCCACCGACAGAGUAAACAGCCAGAGUGGAUGUCACAUGACUUUGGUUGGGUGCUUAGCCUUUGGCAAGUUAUUUUAAAUUCCUUUCAAUUCUACCAUUCUUGUUGCUGCACAAAAGGUAGGCAAAAAAUACACUCAAAAGGUAGGCAAAAAAUACACUGCAAGCCCAAGACAGGAGAGCAGGCCUUAGUAAAGGCAACAGACAGGGAUAAUUACCUUAAACAUCUUUUGGCUUCAGUGUGAUUUCACUUGGCAGUUACCAGCAUCAGAGUCUCCUAUGCUGACUGGUAGAACUUUUUGGGAUGAUACAGGUGUUCUAGUACCUGUGCUGUCCAAGAUGGUGGCCAUAAGGCACAAGUGGCUCUUGACAUUCCAAUUAAUUAAAAUCAAAAGGAUUUAAAAGGCUAGGUCCACAGUCACACCAGCCACAUUUUAAGUUUUCAGUAGGCACUCAUGGCUAGUGGCUACCCUCUUGGACAAUAUAGCCCCAAAUCAACAGUUCUCAACAUUGGCUGCAUGGGGAUCUAUCUGGAGAGUUUUUAAAAAUAGUGAUGUCUUCCUUCCACCACCACCCCCAUUCCAAAUUCUAGUGUGAUUAGUCCUCUAGAGCCUGGGCAUUUGGACUCUUUGAAACUCCUGGAUAAUUCUAAGAUCUGGCCUGGGUUCAGAACCAUUGCUCUGACCACCGAGGUCUGCGUGAGCACUGCCUCCAACCCCCAGUCCCCCGGGCACAUCCACAAACCCAGGACUGGGCUGGACUCCUGGCACUCUCAGGGCUUUGUCUCCACUGCCCCAUGAUACUUCUCUGCACUGCCUCCUCCUCUCCUAGAACCCAAGAAAUGGAACCAGCCGAGGUGGAAAAAAAGAACCUCCACGCAGGGCGCGAUCUUGGCGACAGCUUCAUCAGUCUUCCUAGGGUUCUGCUAAGGAAAUUAGCAUCCAGAGCAGUUUGGCGACUCACCAGAGGCAAGGGCUGGCAGAGCAAGGAUGAGACCCCUCAGAGAGGACACCUCUCUACACUACACAGUCACCUAUAAUCUUCCAGAAUCAGCAAACACAAUUCAAUUGAGGCAUGUUUAUUAGCAAUGCACAGCUUGGUUUCCCAUGAGAAUCGGAUUAUCCAGAGAGCAGAGAGCUCAUGAUCAAGUUUUCCUGGUGGGCCGUGUCCUGGCAGAAAGCCUGGUCCUCUCCAGGGCUAUUCCAUUUACCUCUUUAGUGCAUCAGAAUAAACGGAUUCACAAUUUCCUCAUCCACCAAACGGUGGUUAGGAACCCAGGCUGCUCCACUGAACAGCAUCACUCUGAGAAGCAAUAAGAUAAUGGAUCCAGUCAACACAAAAUUACGGAGCAGAGUACUAGGUGCUGGGGACAGACGGAACCUGCCUUUAUAGAGAUGAAAUCUGAAAGGCAACAGCUAGUUAAUAAAUGAAGAGUAGGAUAAUUGUAGGGGGAGGAGGACUCUCAGCAGAGGUGGUCAGAGAGGCCCCCCUGAGUUGGGGACAUUUGCACUGAGACCCGGAUAGGCAUCCCAUGCGCUGGGCCAUAGGAUGUUUUGAGAUGAUCUUUACAGUCUAUUGACAAAUGAAUUCUGAGAUGUGUGAAACAGCACAACAUGGUCAUUUUAAAUUAUUCUUGCAUGUCUGCCAAGCUUCAAUGUGAAGACAGACUGGCAUUUCUGAAAGGGAACUCCUCAUGGCCUCUUUGGCCUGGUCCCCAGAACGAUGGAGCUGUCCUUCUAAGGGUUGGAGGAGAGAGUGGGACACUGAAGAAAAAAGGCUGAUGUUUAUGAAUUUAAGGGACAUUUAGGAGUUCCCUGGUGGCUGAGCAGGUUAAGGAUCUGGUGUCAUCACUGCUGUGGUGAGGGUUCCAUCCAUGACUCAAGAUGUUCCCCAUGCUGCAGGUGCAGCUGAUUUUUUUUUUAAUUAAAAAUAAACAUAAAAUAACUGUUUAGUUGCCAGUUCCAGGGGCUCCAAUGUGAAGGGUGGGUUGAAGAAGUCAGAGCAUCCAAGGAAUGUGACUGUGCUGUCUGACCAUGAUGAACUGCCCAGCACCCCUUCCCUUAGGGAGCGAAAACCCAGCAAUGCCUGAGGUUCAAGUUCAAGAUUGGUGAUGACUGGAGGGCACCAUUUGUAGGUCAUGAUCAGAGAGGGUGUGGGAAGAGCCUUCCAAAUAUCUCCUAGUGUUUUUCUCAAAAGUCAACCUGCCCAUACUGACUCUAGAGAGGGCUUCCAGAGAGAGAAGAAAGGCAGAGCAAACAAGGCUGAGUAAUAAGAGCUUUGAGUUCAUCACGCGUCUCAAGCGCUCACAAUGAUCUCUGUGGUUAUGGCAGGGUUUCCUUGUGGUCCUAUAGAAAUUCAUCUCCAAUGUUAUUUGGCAUCCUUUAAAUUAAUGUUUAAAUAUUACUAAUAAGCAAACAAUCCAUGUUUCUUUAGUUAUGCUUUUAAUGAAGAGAAGGGGAUUAGGACACAGAGACUGGCCAGAUCAGUAGAAAACUGCCCAGACUAGACCCCAACCACAAUGUCGCAGACACAUCAUCAGCAAACUCGGAGGCCCUUGGAGUCCCUGGCCGUCGGAAUCAGGUCCCAGGCCCAACUUGUCCCCUGCACUCCAGCUGUGGGCAGCAGGUGGAGGUGCUGGAGGGGCUGAGUCCUGAUUUUUCUGUGCCUGUGUCAUUUUCGAGCAAGUGUGUCAUAGGGCUUCCUGUUUCAUCUCCCAGUUAUUCUGAAACAAAAACAUGCAUGAAAAACACAGGUCACUGCCAACCGCACUGAGACACAGUCACUCCAGUACAUGGAAACCGAAAAGGGAAAGACAGAUCAUAAAUGCCACAGUAAGCCAGGGGAUUGAAUUUAUCAGCAUCGAUUCAAAUAGAGAUAAUCAACAAAAAUUUCGGUGGUGAUGGCAGGGCGUGGGGGUAGGGCGGGGAAUGGGGCAUCUGUUUAAAAAUAAUUCAGAAGAGACGGUAAAGGCAGGUGUUCCCAGAAGCCCACUGUCUGUUUACUGAAAAGAUGAAGUCAAUUGUGACCCUCUGGGUCCAAAUCUAAGCUGGGGGCACACGUAGGCCCACCCCGCCCCCCACAUGCUUCUGUUGGUCGAGCCAAAGAUGCACACACGACUUUGAGGACAACCCCUGUGUUUGCCCAGGUGAUGCCCUGGGCACCCCUCCUCAAGGGUCCAAAGAGACUUAAAAGAGGUGACCAUAGAAUUGUACCCCAAUAAGAGCAUGGAUGCAGAGGAUGGUGGCUGAACCUCUGGUCCCCUCUCCUCAUUCCAGCCAAGAGAGUUGGCCUCUCAGGGAUAUCAAAGCAUCCUGAGCAGAUAAGCUUGUGCGGGGCAGCCUCAGGGAGGUGAGGGGAAGGAAAGUCGGGAAGGGGAUGGGGGUGGGGUGGGGACUUGAGCAAGCAAAGACCCUGAGCACAGCACAGGGCUGAGAACAGCUCCCAUGACUGUGGUUCUAUUAAAUCACCCACAUGGUUUGGCUCCCAAGCAGCCCGUCGCUUGCGGAAACUCAUUCUUAGUUCUUCCAAAUAAGCGAAGGGAAGUUUCCAGAGACAGACAGAGGGUAAGGAUGGUUCAGAAAUAUGAAUGGCGCCAUCUCCCCCAAAGAGACCUCCAUGCCAGCUCUGCACUGUAAUCUGCUGUUCAGAUACUUGGAGGAGGAAGAGAGGGUGGAAAGACUACUGCCAUGGGAACAAGUUCAAAGCCAUACCUGCCCUCUAUCCCCAGCCAUGUUCUCUGACUAGCCACUACUGAGGGCACAGAAGGGAUGGGCACUGCCCAUGACUGCUCAGAGCUUCCUUACAGUCACCACCAUGCCCUCAACAUGCCACCUGCCCCAGAUGCCAUUCUGUGUUCAUGAGGAAAGCCAGCUGCCCUGGCCCCUCCCCCUUUCCUGACUUGUUAAUGGCACAAAAUUUUUUGCAAAAACGUUGGGAUGCAGUGGGAGGGCUGCAUGAUUUUGCAAAAGCUCCUUCCCUCCCUGAGAGAUUUGUUUCCAAGGUACUAUGAGCAGGCAGAAGGUUCCGAGGAAUUAAGAAAUGAAGAUAGCCAUUUAAAUUAAUUUCUUGAGCGCUUUCCAAACAUGUCUAGAGCAGAACCCCUCUUGUACAGGAGCCUGUGCCAGUGGGGUUCCACUGGGCAGCAGAGAGCACAGCUUCUCUUAGACUGAGACCUUGCAACACUCACAGAGUCUGUAUAUAUUUCUUGAAACUCUGUAUUGUUUUUCUUCAAUCUCUUUCCCCUAAUGCCUUGCACAUAAGAGUUAGCUGAUGCACACAAAUUCCCACAGCCUUUAUUUUUUCUUCAAAGGCCUCAUAGACUAGUGGUAGUGAAAUACCAGACUUUCUGAGAAGCGACGAACCCAGCUGUGGGGUUGCUAACAUUCUGGGGACCUGCUGGGAAAACCAGCUUCCUGAUUUGUGUCCUAUGAGCUAGCAUUUUCUAAUGUGACUUAAUAUCCAAAUCUGGGCCCAAGAUUUUAUACUCAGUACCUUCCUGGGUGGGCAAAGAGAAAGAGGAACUAAGAAAUGCAUCAGUGGCUGACAUGGGUGGCGAGGGAAACCUGGUUCCUUUCAUUUGAAAUAGAGAGGCAGCUUAGGAACCUAUACACUCCUUCUGAGUGGGAGGAAAAACCGAAGUGCAAGAGCCCAGCCAGGACUUGGUACAGACCCACCACCCACCAUGUGGACUUGGACCAAAAUCACAGAGUGAGGCGUGGCAGGGCCAGUAGGGUCAUCUGGUCAACCUUCAUUUUACAGACCCACAGAGUGAGGAAGUCAGCAAUCUAAAAUUGCACUGGGAAAGACACUGGUGGGGCCAAGGCCUGGGUCUCUCCUGCCUGCAUCCCUAGAUUCUGAAAACCAGCUUUCCACUGUAACACCUGAGCUAGCUUGUGUGGGAGUUUUGCAUGCAAAAGUCAAUCCCAAGUGACUCCUUGCUGAACUGGCUGUCUAGUUAUCAUUGAAGAAACUCAAAAUGGUGCACCCAGGAACUUGAAAUGACUUGCCCCUAACUCAGAGCUGAUCACACAUGUGGCAUUCCAUAUCCUCAGGGACAUUAGGAGGGGGUAGAGACCAUCUGUGCCUCUCCCCUGUUGGGAUAUUCUUAGAGAAGCUUCUGGUCACAUGCCACUCCCUAAUUCUUACUCCCAGCUUGGCUGAUCUAUGCUGGUCUUGAAGGUUUCUAGAAUUCAGGGGUCCCCCAUUAUAUCUCCCCACUGUGCAUACCCAGCUUUGCUCUCCUUUGGAUCUGAAGGAUGGCCUCCGAGUCACAUAUAUCACACUGUGAAUAUGAGUCCUCCUCAGGGGCCAGAAUUGUAGCCCGGGCAAUCUUCUGGAUGCUCCCCAAGCCAUUUCUUAGCAUGGGAAACUGAAGAGGGGAGUGAACAGUAGCUCAGACACCCAUCCGUGGACCGGAUGGGUCACUGGUCAGGGUAUCUCUUCUCAGUUCCAUCCAAGCCUCUAGUUCCCUGGCAGUAAGUACCAAGGCAGAAAGGGAAGCAAGAAGCACAAAGUUCAACCUGCUAUAACAUCCACGGCACUGCCAACACCUCAGUGCUGAAAGGCCAAACCAAAGUCCCCAG